rnacentral:rRNA from 1 species
AAUGACAGUACCGGGAGAAUAAGCCCCGGCUAACUCCGUGCCAGCAGCCGCGGUAAUACGGAGGGGGCUAGCGUUGUUCGGAAUUACUGGGCGUAAAGCACGCGUAGGCGGCUUUGUAAGUUAGAGGUGAAAGCCCGGAGCUCAACUCCGGAACUGCCUUUAAGACUGCAUCGCUAGAACGUUGGAGAGGUCAGUGGAAUUCCGAGUGUAGAGGUGAAAUUCGUAGAUAUUCGGAAGAACACCAGUGGCGAAGGCGACUGACUGGACAAGUAUUGACGCUGAGGUACGAAAGCGUGGGGAGCAAACAGGAUUAGAUACCCUGGUAGUCCACGCCGUAAA